rnacentral:rRNA from 1 species
GCACAAGCGGUGGAGCAUGUGGUUUAAUUCGAUGCAACGCGAAGAACCUUACCUGGGUUUGACAUGUCGGUGGUAAGAAACCGAAAGGGGCCUGACCCCGCAAGGGGAGCCGACACAGGUGCUGCAUGGCUGUCGUCAGCUCGUGUCGUGAGAUGUUGGGUUAAGUCCCGCAACGAGCGCAACCCUCGCCCCUAGUUGCCAACGGGUCAUGCCGGGAACUCUAGGGGGACUGCCCCGGUUAACGGGGAGGAAGGUGGGGAUGACGUCAAGUCAUCAUGGCCUUUAUGUCCAGGGCUACACACGUGCUACAAUGGCCGGUACAAAGGGUCGCAAACGCGCGAGCGGAAGCUAAUCCCAAAAAGCCGGUCCCAGUUGGGAUCGCAGUCUGCAACUCGACUGCGUGAACGCGGAAUCGCUAGUAAUCGCGAAUCAGCAGGUCGCGGUGAAUACGUUCCCGGGC